AGUGGGGACUUGGGGGCCAGAGUAUAAACUGAGGGAUCUGAACUUGUUGAAACCAGACAAGCAAGGUCUAUCAGUCAAGAGAGGUUUAAUCCAGAAAGGAUUCAACUGCAGAUAAAUUGGAAACUGCUGCUCUGGCUGCCUGCGGGGCAAGGCCUGAUGUCUGUAUGGUUUCGAUCGAUGACAAGGUGUUGGGGAUACCGUGGUGAACAAGACUUUGUCCUCACAGAAGCUACAUACUGGAGGGACAGACAGUGACAAGGGAGUUCAUUAACAAGAUAGCACCAGCUUGUGAUAAUGGCCAUUCAAGAUGGAAGCAAAAUAAUAUGAAAUUUAGUGUGAGAAUGGCAUUUAGGUGCUAGAGAAGGGUUCACCAUGAGGACAGCACUGGAGUGGAGAACUUGUGCCGAGGGUGUCUCAUGGGUUUUCACAGGAGAUGGAGAAAGAAGAGCAAUGAUAUCAAGGGUAUUUCUGGAAGAAGAGGUCCUUACAGACACCACCGGUCGGGAUCAGACUCAGGCCCAUCCUAACACCAUCACCUGAACCGCUUCUUUGAAGGUCACAUUCUAAGGUACUAGAAUGUACCUCACCUCAACAGGUCAUCCAUCUGUGGCGAAAUGAGACCAAGAGGCAGAGGUGCAUAAUUAAGAGGAAAACUGAGAGUUUUCAAACGGAAGCAUUGGAAGAUGUGAUAUAACACUAACGAUGCCUUGACUUGAUGAAGACAGAGGGAAGAGCAUCCCAGAGAGAAGGAACAGCAUGUGCAAAAUUGGGGAGGAAACAGGGUGAAUUCCAAGGAUGGAGAGUUGCCCAUUGGGACCCCAUCAGACAGUGAGGAGGUAUGAAAGUACACGUGGCCCUGGCACUUAACUCGAUGGUGGGAGGAAGUCGGCUUCCAGCCCCCCCUUCGCCCACCAUGUCUAAUUAACAUGGAGUCUACCUUCUUUGAUGAGUUCAUAAGUGUUUCACAGACAGGCGGGAUGUAGCAACUUUGCAAGACACUGUUUAAAGAUCUUCGACAUCUGAGAAAGCCACAAAAUCCAAUAAUCCUACUUUCAGAACUCCAGGGUGUCCACUGAGAUCAAUCUCAUAUCUAAACAUCACAUAAAGAGAGUGCAUUGCAUUAUAGACUGGUUUCUAUUGAACA